AGUGGACGCUGGCGGUAGGCCUAACACAUGCAAGUCGAACGGCAGCACAGUAAGAGCUUGCUCUUACGGGUGGCGAGUGGCGGACGGGUGAGGAAUACAUCGGAAUCUACUUUUUCGUGGGGGAUAACGUAGGGAAACUUACGCUAAUACCGCAUACGACCUACGGGUGAAAGCAGGGGAUCUUCGGACCUUGCGCGAUUGAAUGAGCCGAUGUCGGAUUAGCUAGUUGGCGGGGUAAAGGCCCACCAAGGCGACGAUCCGUAGCUGGUCUGAGAGGAUGAUCAGCCACACUGGAACUGAGACACGGUCCAGACUCCUACGGGAGGCAGCAGUGGGGAAUAUUGGACAAUGGGCGCAAGCCUGAUCCAGCCAUACCGCGUGGGUGAAGAAGGCCUUCGGGUUGUAAAGCCCUUUUGUUGGGAAAGAAAAGCAGCAGGUUAAUACCCCGCUGUUCUGUCGGUACCCAAAGAAUAAGCACCGGCUAACUUCGUG
rnacentral:rRNA from 1 species